rnacentral:rRNA from 1 species
UACGGGGGGGCAAGCGUUGUUCGGAAUUACUGGGCGUAAAGGGUGCGUAGGCGGUCGGGUAAGUCUGAUGUGAAAUCUCACAGCUUAACUGUGAAACUGCAUUGGAUACUAUCCGGCUAGAGGAAUGGAGGGGAGACUGGAAUACUUGGUGUAGCAGUGAAAUGCGUAGAUAUCAAGUGGAACACCAGUGGCGAAGGCGAGUCUCUGGACAUUUCCUGACGCUGAGGCACGAAAGCCAGGGGAGCAAACGGG